AUUUAGCCCCAAAACGCCCACACAGGUUGCGCACCCCAGGACCGGGCCUGGUCGACAAUUAAUGUUGAUCAGUGCCACUGUGAAUCUAGGUACGGUAGUUCACAUCAUAUAUUUUGGAUCGCAGACCACCGGAACCGGGUCGCACGACAACGGGCGGCCAGAUCGGGAAUGUACCAUCUUGAAGUACACAUCGUGCCUGUUAGCAAUCGAUGAGGGACUUUUCGGUGCUAGCUUUGUACGUGCAUGCAUGAGCCAUCCAUCUUGCUUCGUCUCGGUCGUUUCCUGUUGCCAGAAGCAAAUCCGCAUGUGGUAUUGGGCAACAUGCGCUAGCUAGGGUUGAGAUUGCCAAGGGUUGGGUUCGACAUAUUUCUGCGGUUUCGCCAUAAGCAAGUCAUCUCCUUCCGUACCAACUUGGCUCCUGACCUCCUGUGCAAGUUACUCGCCUCUAGCUAUGCACGUCAAGUAUGGACCGGAGCACGAGGUCAAGCUAGCAAUACGACCACGACUUGAUCCAUCUUCUGCAAGUCAACUGUAGAUCGUGGUAUAGAAGUCAGAGUACUUAUGAUAAUAAGUAUCCUCACCCUCUCAACAUGCAAUUAAUGCAUGUAAGUCAAUAAGCCAAUAAUACUACAUGGUUCUUAAUCAACUAGCCUAUGAAAGGCGCCUCCCGCCGCCCCUCGUCUGAUCUAUAAUCUAUUAAUCCAAAGGGUUACUACCUCCUCUCAUCUCAUGGUUGCACACACUCUCAAGGUCUUCGUCCCCGUAGUUCUCUUUGCCCUCUGCGUCGUCGUGUUAGCCCCUGCCAUAGCGGAAGCGGGAUACAUCUACCACUACUGUUGGUGCGAGCCCUACGUGGCUCCGAAAGGAGCGCUGUCCAGCGCACUGUGCAGGCGCCCGACGUCCUGCGAGACCAACUGCCGCCAGAAGUUGUUAAAAAAGAACUGCGGCCAGUAGGAGGAGGCUUGCUUCUCCGGCUGCAUCGAGUCUGCCGAAGUUUGCGAGGACAGAUGUAGCGUCGCGAUGACUGAAGGUCUCGCUGGUUCGCUAGCCAAGAAUCCUACCUGAGUUCUAGCAAGAUUGAUUUUUCUACCAUGCAGUCAAACACUUGAUGUAACGUUACAUUCACCGCAUCCGCAUGUCGUUACUUUGAUACUAGUGCCAAGUUUUCUAAUCUUUGCCCAUGUUUGGCUUUUUUCACAGUAUUACAUGAUGAUUGGUUAAGUUCUGUUUUAUAAUCCAAAAGUUACAGAAUAGUUUGUUGUGUACUACGUGAUGAUUACAUUAUUAUUUUUUAUGUUCCAGAGUAUUACAUGAUGAUUUGUUAACUACUCCGAAGCAAGUCACUAGUGGGG
rnacentral:lncRNA from 1 species